rnacentral:lncRNA from 10 species
CUUCAGUCUUCGCAGCAGACUGUGACAUUUACCCCAAUUCACAGAUAAGGAAGCAGACACUCAGAGAGGCCGACUUGCCCCAGGUCACACAAUUAAAAAGGGGAUUUGAGAGGCCAGCCCAGGUCUGUGUGACCGCAGAUGGGUUCCUCUCAGUCAGUGGGUCCCCACUUCUCACACAGCAGCUGCUCAAUAAGUGGUGAGGCUGUUGGGAUCCCCUUGGAUCACGCAGCAGCACUCCUUCCUGCCCCUGUGCCCCUGCCAGGCUCUGAGCGCCAUCUUUGCUGUGGCCCAGGAUGUAGCCAAAGCAGCCUUUGGAGGCUCACAGAGGGCAGAAGACAGUCCUGGCCGUGAGGCAACAUUCAACUUGGAGCUGGGCCCACCAGUCCUGAGGGCAGAAGGACAAGAUUGGACCCUACAGCAAAGGGACCCCCAAGGCCUGUCAGGGCUGAGCGGUGGUUCCCCAAGGAAAAUGAAGAGGGGUGUUCCUGAGGCUGAACCAGAUGCUCGAGAGGUUGUGAAUGUCUCCAAGCCAAAUAUUCCGGAAAGAACUCUGACUGCAAGGGGAUGGAAAAGAGUAACCAACUCCAAAGGGGAGAUGACCACGCAACUCCACAGAUGCUGAAUGGAGAGAGACUUAAUGGAUCAGAGAAAUAAAAUCAACGGAGUUUAUCACCCCCAGCUCAGCAAACAAUAGUGCCAUCAGCACCAUAGGGCCAGUUCCUUGCCUCCAAGUCCCAUCAGCAGACGCAGUUUGGACAUGACAUUGCCUCAUGUUUCUCUAUCCAUCUGACAAUCAGAGAUGCCCAAGCUGAUCUCCUGAGGCAGCUGAGUGCAGGGAAAUGUUAAUUACCACUAAGGCUUUCCUUGUCUUGGAAACCUCCAUCUGUGAAUUCUGUGAAAAGGAAUGAGGUCCUGAUUGGAGGAAGACAACACAAUUCUGAGGUCACAUUCCCCUGUCCUCAGAGGGAAAACUGCCGUUUUGUGUUCGUGUUGGGGAUGCAAGCACAAGACUUUGAGAACACAGAGCCAGGCCUCAGGUGAUCCCCAGGAAGGGACAGCAGGUGACCAUGGGUGAGACCAGUAAAACCUGCAGAAUUGGAUAUUAGUUUUUCUAUCUCUGAUGUCUAGACAUACUUUAAUCUCCAUGCUACUUGGAAAGUUGAUGUGCUCACAGAAAAUAAAAUGUGCUGACAAGCUCUUUGUGUCCCAG